rnacentral:rRNA from 1 species
GACGAACGCUGGCGGCGUGCUUAACACAUGCAAGUCGAACGGAAAGGCCCUGCUUGCAGGGUACUCGAGUGGCGAACGGGUGAGUAACACGUGGGUGAUCUGCCCUGCACUUCGGGAUAAGCCUGGGAAACUGGGUCUAAUACCGGAUAGGAGCCAUUUUUAGUGUGAUGGUUGGAAAGUUUUUUCGGUGUAGGAUGAGCUCACGGCCUAUCAGCUUGUUGGUGGGGUAAUGGCCUACCAAGGCGGCGACGGGUAGCCGGCCUGAGAGGGUGGACGGCCACAUUGGGACUGGGAUACGGCCCAGACUCCUACGGGAGGCAGCAGUGGGGAAUAUUGCACAAUGGGCGCAAGCCUGAUGCAGCGACGCCGCGUGGGGGAUGACGGCCUUCGGGUUGUAAACUCCUUUCGCUAGGGACGAAGCUUUUUGUGACGGUACCUAGAUAAGAAGCACCGGCUAACUACGUG